AGGGGGAGGCCGGAUCCUGGGCUGUGUCGCGGCGCCCAUUGGUCCGGGGCCUGCGCUGUUGGAUUUGCGCUCCCGCCCCGCAGCCCCCU
rnacentral:pre_miRNA from 1 species